rnacentral:rRNA from 1 species
GACAGAGGGGGCAAGCGUUGCUCGGAAUUACUGGGCGUAAAGGGCGCGUAGGCGGGAUGGCAAGUCGGUCGUGAAAUCCCUCGGCUCAACUGAGGAUCGUCGAUCGAUACUGCCGUUCUUGAGGAUUGCAGAGUAGACUGGAAUUCCCGGUGUAGCGGUGAAAUGCGUAGAUAUCUGGAGGAACACCGGUGGCGAAGGCGGCGUUCUGGACUGCAACUGACACUGAGGAACGAAAGCCAGGGGAGCGAACAGG